rnacentral:misc_RNA from 1 species
UUCAGUUGUGGGUCAAGUGCGGCAUAGCCUUGGCCGUGACCCGGUUUCCUGUGUUGCAUACCUACGCGAUGGCAUUCGUUUGUCCCAACGUCCCUCGUUCGUUUAGUGGUCCGCUUCUCAGCGGGUCACGAGACGAAACUUGCAGCAUGACCCGUUACCCGCGUCGCAUAUAUUGCAUCGCGGUGAACGGGGCAUUGCUUGAGCUCUUGGAUACGGAAAGCACUGUGGGCAUUGAGGUCUCGCGGCCUCUUAUCGUUGCCCAAGCAUGCAUUAGACGUGAACGAUGCACGACCGUCGCUCCCGUCUCGGCUUGGCCGUGCGGUGACGACGUCGUUCAGGAAUGCUACCUGGUUGAUCCUGCCAGAUCCUCUGCUUGA